rnacentral:snoRNA from 1 species
AUGCAUCUCUGACAGACCUGCAACAGUUAACGUCUGUUGCCAAGGUUUUCACUCCAGAUGCAAGAAAAAGAAGGUCCUCGCAUGCUGAGAUCAGCUCAGCGAUAGGUUGGCUCAAGGGAAGGCAGCA